rnacentral:rRNA from 1 species
CCUACGGGAGGCUGCAGUGGGGAAUAUUGGACAAUGGGGGCAACCCUGAUCCAGCCAUGCCGCGUGUGUGAAGAAGGCCCUCGGGUUGUAAAGCACUUUCAGUGAGGAAGAACGCCUGGUGGUUAAUACCCAUCAGGAAAGACAUCACUCACAGAAGAUGCACCGGCUAACUCCGUGCCAGCAGCCGCGGUAAUACGGAGGGUGCGAGCGUUAAUCGGAAUUACUGGGCGUAAAGCGCGCGUAGGUGGCUUGAUAAGCCGGUUGUGAAAGCCCCGGGCUCAACCUGGGAACGGCAUCCGGAACUGUCAAGCUAGAGUGCAGGAGAGGAAGGUAGAAUUCCCGGUGUAGCGGUGAAAUGCGUAGAGAUCGGGAGGAAUACCAGUGGCGAAGGCGGCCUUCUGGACUGACACUGACACUGAGGUGCGAAAGCGUGGGUAGCAAACAGGAUUAGAUACCCUAGUAGUC